UUCUACCAAAUCCCUUAUGUCUCUCUAAUUGCUCUCUUCCAUCUCUCUAUAUAUCAUCUCUUAUCUCAGUUGAUUAAUAAACAUUGCUUGUGGAAGAACCCUUCGCCAUCGCUUCUCUCGAACUCUCUAAUAAGAGCCCUAAUUCAUAUCCCUCCUAUUCCAUUUAUGGUUCUUGUAUCCACAUUUGCCUCCUCCGCUGGUAUCUCCUGCAAGCUAGGUAGGUUUUUUUCUUCACAAAUUCAUGAUUUCAUUGUUUUUCUUCACAAUUUCAGGUUGAUUAUCGAGUUUUCUUUAACGAUUUAAGGUUGUGCGACAUUAUUUAGGGCUUCAUUCACAACUAUCUCUUUCUAACACUGUAUAUGUGUGCGUGUGUUUAUUUCAUGGAACUGGAUUGAAAUUUAGAUACCAAUGACCACCAUCUUCGAUUUUUAGCACCACCCGAAGAAAUGUUCGAUUCUCAACAUCACCCAUUUAGCAGAUUUUGAAAUCACACCAUCGUCACCAACAUUCACAUAAGACACCACAACACUCACCACCAUUGAACAACUACCACAUGCUACCUUCUUUCCAGUAGUAUCCCUUCUGAACCUUAAAGUUUAACCACCCAAAUUUUCUUAUUUUAUCUGUUAAUCAUUGAUUUAGGGGUUUGGUUGUGGCUGCCUUUUCCCUUCUCUGCGUUUUUCUCUAAACAGAAACACCUGAUGGAUGUGUACUGAGAGAUUGAUCAAGAAGCAAGAGGAAUCUAUUUCACGAAAAACAGAUUCACAAGGAUUCGAAGAAAUCCUUCUCUCAAAGAAGGAGAUUUUGUGGUGCAUCCUAGAGGCUCAAAUGUUUUUGUUUAUAUUUCAUUUUUAUUAUUUAGCAUAUUUAAACAUUAUUUAAAAGGUUAUGUAUUGUAUUCGUCGCUCAUAAUUACAUGGCUCCUAAUGUUUAUUUUUAAUCAAGUAACAAACAAUUCCAACAA